GGGGGCAUAGCUCAGUUGGUAGAGUACUUGCCUAGCAUACACAAGGCCCUGGGUUCAAUCCCCAGCCCCACCG
rnacentral:tRNA from 1 species